rnacentral:rRNA from 1 species
GAUGAACGCUGGCGGCGUGCCUAAUACAUGCAAGUCGAGCGAACGGACGAGAAGCUUGCUUCUCUGCUGUUAGCGGCGGACGGGUGAGUAACACGUGGAUAACCUACCUAUAAGACUGGGAUAACUUCGGGAAACCGGAGCUACUACCGGAUGAUAUUUUGAACCGCAUGGUUCAAAAGUGAAAGACGGUCUUGCUGUCACUUAUAGAUGGAUCCGCGCUGCAUUAGCUAGUUGGUAAGGUAACGGCUUACCAAGGCAACGAUGCAUAGCCGACCUGAGAGGGUGAUCAGCCACACUGGAACUGAGACACGGUCCAGACUCCUACGGGAGGCAGCAGUAGGGAAUCUUCCGCAAUGGGCGAAAGCCUGACGGAGCAACGCCGCGUGAGUGAUGAAGGUCUUCGGAUCGUAAAACUCUGUUAUUAGGGAAGAACAUAUGUGUAAGUAACUGUGCACAUCUUGACGGUACCUAAUCAGAAAGCCACGGCUAACUACGUG